ensembl:lncRNA
AAGGACCAGAUAACAAAAGGAGACCAAUCCAUUAUUAUUUCAUCAAAUUUUUAAAACAGUAAUACAGUACAUUCAUUGAGAUAUAUAUAUGGAAAGUGUGAACCAUCUCUUCCUGUUUAAAGGGAAAUCACAAACCAAAAGCCCAGCCAUCUCCCCAAAUGUGUCCUCCCCACUGAAAUCACAGGCAACGCCAUGGAAAGGCCUUUCCAAAGCCUGCCAGCCUCCUCUUGUAUUCUGCAGAAACUAGUUGCUCCCGGUGUACAUGCCUGGAACUGAGUGGCAGCCAUGACACAGACACAAGAGAAGGUGCUUGGUUUGUAAGUCCCCUUUAAGCAGCUGUCCUCCUGCCUAUGUCCUGAAUGUAUGGCGUAUGGAGCAUUCGGUGUGCCAAGGUGGAUGAGAACAGACUGCUAGUCCUUGCUACCGUGCAGUUACUUUGUUCCUGGUUUCCAAUGGCUACCUCCCACCUUUGACUUCCCACUGCAGCUUGGUUUGUUUACACUUGGGCACGCUGGGUAGUUAGUACCAUCCCUCUGCCAGGCUGUUAAAGGCUGAUUCUGAUAUCAAUUUCCAGUGAGCUACCCUGAAAUGUUUCCUUAGAAGUACCCUUAUUCCACGCUCCACUUCACAGGGCUCAGGAUUAUCCGGCUACCUUCUCUCCCUCUAAAUUCCAGGUGUGAUCUGCUGCCAGCCCCUCGCGAACAGCAACAGUAUUGACAGUUUGUCCUGAUGUUCUUGCAUUUGGUAUGGGAAACUGAUGGACUAUGAAAAAUAUCCUGUGGGGAAGGGCAGUAAGAAUGAAAUCUAUGCCAAGGACAUGCAACUUAAGAGUACUUUCAAAAAAAAAAAAAGUAAGAUCUUUAAAUAAAUGAAAAAUAAACUAUGCUUAAGACAGCGUUAUGAGGACCACCCUCUUUCUAUGGUGAAUUUUGAACAAGGCAGAACAACAGCUAGAUGAUCUAUUUCCCUGAAGCAAGAGAGGAGUUAGCUUUCCCCCAGGCAAACUGAUCGAAAUGAUCAUUAUUUAUUAAUGAAAGGAAGAGGCAAAUUGGUGAAGUAAGUUGAUCGAGGACAUGGUGGGUGACACACACCAAUGGCAGUACUAGGACUGCUUUAAAACUGAGAUAAACAAGCUGGACUGUGACACAUCACUGUUUCAGAGAGAGGGGAUACAAAGUACCCCGAGUGAAUCUCAUCUCUCCUACACAGGUGGUGAGUUUAAAAUGACAGUCUCCCUUACAGUUAUACAAACACAACAAUCACAGGAAUAGGAAGCUAAAUAAAUAGUGUGUGGCUGUCUUUAGAUGAGACCUUUAAUGUUCUUUAAAUAAUUUUUGAUAAUGUCUUUUAAAUCAUUACAUACAAGUGCCAUUGCAGUGGCAAUAUUCCAGUAGGGCAGCAUUUUGCUAAAUGUAAAAGAUUGCCAUUUAGAACUCAUACAUAUACACGUGUAUGUACAGUUAUAUCAACACUAUUUAUAUACAUAUAUAUCUAGAGAGCAACAUUUCAUUGCCUUUGAAUAUCUCUAUGUCCACUCCCACAAUAUAUCCUGGAGACAUACUGUGUGAGUAUAUACCAAAGUGUAUGUACACAUGCGCCAACAUGUAUAUAUACACUUCUGUGUGUGCAUAAGAGCUUUAAAGGCACGAUAUAGAAGGGUGCAAGUUUUCUAGAGAGCUGCAGCAGAGUUAAAACUGAAUGUCACAACUGUGAGAGAAGUCAAAAGGAAAUCUAGCAGAAUUAUUACACAAGAACUCAUUAGAGCAUUUCAUCAUGAGAAACAAGAGUCAGUUAUAGAAUUCAAGAGGCUUCCAUGUGACUCUGUGUACUUUGUUAAAAUUCAAGUGGUAAAUGGUUAUAUUUAAAACACAAAGCAAAUCAAACUCUUUAAAUGAUAAGUGUGGAAAUACACCUAACACUAAUAUCAAUCAUAAAGUCAUAAUUACAUUUUUCAAUGUAAAUAAAAUACUCCAAAGUUACCUAGGUUAAGAAAUUGAGAAUUAAGUUUUUGAACAUUGGCUUUUUAUUUUUGAUGACUACCCAAUUCUCAGAGAAAACAUAAUUGAAAGCUGUAUACCGUGGGGAAGUGUCGUUGGUAAGGCCUGAGUGACAGCUGACACAUUCAUGCCCAGGUGUCUAGUGAGAGAGCUAAAUCAUCCCAAGGACGUGGCUUCUCACAUGCCCAGCACAGGGCCACCUCAGGAGCCAAUCUCCAGCACUUGGACAACAGACAACUUGGCAAAGAUGUGUGAUUGUUAAGUAAUGAGAGAAUAGCUAGCAGAAAUCUGAGAAAGAAGAGUUCAAAGAUUGGUUUGUGAGCACUAAUCUGUAAUCGUGACUGUAAUCCAAAGGGUUCCCACGUCAGCAUGCUUGGUGAUGUGCUCUACACUGUGGCCAUUUCCACUGGCUGGCAGAAUAACCCAGAAUUCCCACAGAUGCAUAAUCUUGCUUAGCAAGGGCUGUUAAUCUAUUACACACACACAUUUUAGGGAAAUAUAUGUAUAUAGCUUUAUCUAUACACACACAUAUACAUACGUGUAUAUAUAGAUUUAUACAAAUGUAUAAAUAAACAUAAUACUUUUUCAAUCUUUCCAUUGACAAGGCAAGUUCACAUUCAGCAAAGUGCCACCACAUCCCAUAUACACAUCUCUGUACAGAUAUACACAAAGGGUCUGUUUUCACCCUUCAAUAAGGGGGAAUUGAUUCUAGCAAAUUCCAUUAACCAGCAACUGAAGGGAGAAAUGGCAUCAGUACAAACUCCCUUCUUUCGCUUGCAUGCAUAUGUACAAGAAAUAUGCAGGUUUCUUAAAAUCUGAAAGCAAGAGUGAAUGAAACAGGGAGAUGCUACAAAAACACAAGUGUGAAAAACAACAUGGAGAGCUUGCCUGGGUUUUGUCUGGAUCUAAGAUGAAGUAACUGAGGCCCCAAAGACAACUACCAAUUCAAGUGUGUUCCUGGGAGUUGCCCUGGCAUUUCUAAGUACAGCGCCUUCAUAUUAAAGUAAGUGUGAUGGAGCACUUGGCCC